GUCCACGCCGUAAACGAUGGAUACUAGCUGUUCGGGAGCAAUUCUGAGUGGCUAAGCGAAAGUGAUAAGUAUCCCACCUGGGGAGUACGUUCGCAAAGAAUGAAACUCAAAGGAAUUGACGGGGCCCGCACAAGCGGUGGAGCAUGUGGUUUAAUUCGAUGAUACGCGAGGAACCUUACCAGGGCUUAAAUGUAGUCUGACAGGACCGGAAACGGUUUUUCUUCGGACAGAUUACAAGGUGCUGCAUGGUUGUCGU
rnacentral:rRNA from 1 species